AUGAAGAAUGUGAAGAAGAUGGUCUUGCUGACUUUUGAUUGUUUUAUGCUUUCAUUUCUUGCGUCCAUAUUUUGUAAAAUAGAGAGACGUUAUUUAAAACAAUUAUUAGCAGCAUAUAGAAACUAUCAGAGGUUGAAUGCCAUUUUCUCUCAUAUGUUUCAACAUUGCAUAGUUGAAUUUGUAAAUAAUCCCUUUGUUGUGAAAUAG